CUCGGGAGCUGUGGUCCCGCGCGCCCGGGCGCCGGCUGGACGUGCAGGGCGCGGGGCAGCGGGGCUCGCCGUCUGCUCUCCCUGCAGGACCCCGCUGGCCGCCGGCCUUUGGAAGAAACCCUCGUGCGCUCCCGUGGGGUCUCCUUAAGGGGCGGGCUGGGCGCCCCACCUGGACGCCACCCCGGGCGGAGUCGGACCUGGCGCUUUCCAGCCCCUGAUGUCACUGAGACCCCGCUGGCCCGGGCUGGCUCCCAGCUGUGCGGCCCCUGGGGGUGCAGGACUGAAGACGGGUGUCUGCUGAUCGGAAUCUUCUGGAAGUUGGUUAAAUGCAGAUUCUUGGCCCCUCCUCCCUGAGAUCCUGAUACAGGGUCCAAGGAGGGACCCAGGAAUGUGGAUUUCAGGCCAUCGCGCCCCAGAGCAGAGGGCAGCCUCGGAGCAUGGAGGACACAGAUGGGGCGCAGCAGCACCAGCCCAAUGCCAGACGGUUUUGCCAAGUUGCCCAGGCUGCCCUUGAACCUGGGGUCCUCCUGCCCUAGGCUCCGAGUAGCUGGGAUGGCAGGAACAGGCAGGCCGUCCCUCCCUGGCCAUCAGGGGACUCCAGCCCCUGGGCAGAGAGCUUGGGGAGGGGACAUUCACGUGACCCAAGGCAGGCCAGGAGACCCAGUCCUGGGAAGGCAGCUCUCUUUCUUCGGGAAGCUCGGGCUGGCAGGACAGAAAGCCGGAGUCAGCCGCAUGGACAGCCUAAGCCAAGAUGAAGCCAGACAGCCACAGAGCUGAGAUGGAGCCGGGCUGAGCGCCUGCCCAGACCAGCCUCUCCUGGUACCAGGCCUCCAUUUGAAAGGGGAGGCGGCCAGGUGACCCUAGAGCUUCUGCCAAGGCAAGCCUGGGGCUGGGGCAUGGGAGUUCCCGGGAGGGGGCAUCUCGGUGGGCUUUGGGAGGAGGUGGCCUGGGGGUUGGGCUUAGAGGCACAGGGAGGAUUUUAGUGGUUUGAGAAUCAGAAAGGGGACCUCCCAGAGAACAGGGGUCAAAACGGACAGGUGGAGAGAGGAGCCCUGGGCCCUGCGCCUGGGCUGGCGGGGCGGGGCAGGGUUGGGGACUUUGUCUUGGUUAGAAGUGAGGGUCUGGGCAGGUCCCCGCCCUUCCCUUUGCUGCUUCAUUCCUGGUCCUGCCCCUCUCAGCCUCCCAGGAGCCUGGCACCCUCCCCUCCCGGUCUUUCCAGGGUGUCUCCCCACUCGGGGCGUCGGCCAGGAAGUGGGCACAGGGGCACUGUCCCUGCUGCACCCGCCCGUGGCCUGCUUCUUGCUUUCCAGCCCUUGAGAGCAGACCCCAGGGCUGGGCCCGGGUCCCCCACGCCCCUCCAG